rnacentral:rRNA from 1 species
GCAGUCGCCACGGUAAUACGUAGGUGGCAAGCGUUGUCCGGAAUUAUUGGGCGUAAAGGGCUCGCAGGCGGUUUCUUAAGUCUGAUGUGAAAGCCCCCGGCUCAACCGGGGAGGGUCAUUGGAAACUGGAAAACUUGAGUGCAGAAGAGGAGAGUGGAAUUCCACGUGUAGCGGUGAAAUGCGUAGAGAUGUGGAGGAACACCAGUGGCGAAGGCGACUCUCUGGUCUGUAACUGACGCUGAGGAGCGAAAGCGUGGGGAGCGAACAGGAUUAGAUACCCCUGUAGUCCCUGUCUCUUAUAC